GGGGCUGAUUCUGGAUUCGACGGGAUUUGCGAAACCCAAGGUGCAUGCCGAGGGGCGGUUGGCCUCGUAAAAAGCCGCAAAAAAAUAGUCGCAAACGACGAAACCUACGCUUUAGCAGCUUAAUAACCUGCUUAGAGCCCUCUCUCCCUAGCCUCCGCUCUUAGGACGGGGAUCAAGAGAGGUCAAACCCAAAAGAGAUCGCGCGGAUGCCCUGCCUGGGGUUAAAGCGUUAAAACGAAUCAGGCUAGUCUGGUAGUGGCGUGUCCGUCCGCAGGUGCCAGGCGAAUGUAAAGACUGACUAAGCAUGUAGUACCGAGGAUGUAGGAAUUUCGGACGCGGGUUCAACUCCCGCCAGCUCCACCA
rnacentral:tmRNA from 1 species